CUGGGUGUGCAUCUCAGGACACAGAGCUCCGGAAUUUCUCCAUCAUGGCCUGGACUCCUCUCCUGCUCCUCCUCUUUUCUCUGUACACAGGUGA
rnacentral:pre_miRNA from 1 species